rnacentral:rRNA from 1 species
AAACUUGGGCUAAUACCGUAUGGUGCAGAGAUGCCAAAGAUUAUCGCCUUGGGAUAAGCCCGCGUCAGAUUAGGUAGUUGGUGGGGUAAUGGCCUACCAAGCCUGUGAUCUGUAGCUGGUCUGAGAGGACGAUCAGCCACAUUGGGACUGAGACACGGACCCAAACUCCGUACGGGAGGCAGCAGGUGGGGAAUCUUGCGCAAUGGAACGAAAGUCUGACGCAGCCAUGCCGCGUGAAUGAUGAAGGUCUUAGGAUUGUAAAGUUCUUUAGCCUGUGACGAUGAUGACGGUAACAGGAGAAUAACGCCCGGCUAACUUCGUG